UACGUAGGGUGCAAGCGUUGUCCGGAAUUAUUGGGCGUAAAGAGCUCGUAGGCGGUCUGUCGCGUCGGCUGUGAAAUCCCGGAGCUCAACUCCGGGUCUGCAGUCGAUACGGGCAAACUGGAGUACUGCAGGGGAGACUGGAAUUCCUGGUGUAGCGGUGAAAUGCGCAGAUAUCAGGAGGAACACCGGUGGCGAAGGCGCUGACCUGGACGAAGAUUGACGCUGAGGUGCGAAAGCGCGGGGAGCAAACAGG
rnacentral:rRNA from 1 species